UACAGAGGUCUCAAGCGUUGUUCGGAUUCAUUGGGCGUAAAGGGUGCGUAGGCGGUGGGAGAAGUCCGAUGUGAAAUCCCGGGGCUCAACCCUGGAACUGCAUUGGAUACUCUUCUACUUGAGCACUGGAGAGGAGACUGGAAUUUACGGUGUAGCAGUGAAAUGCGUAGAGAUCGUAAGGAAGACCAGUGGCGAAGGCGAGUCUCUGGACAGUUGCUGACGCUGAGGCACGAAGGCCAGGGGAGCAAACGGG
rnacentral:rRNA from 1 species